rnacentral:rRNA from 1 species
UGUCGUCAGCUCGUGUCGUGAGAUGUUGGGUUAAGUCCGUAACGAGCGCAACCCUUGUCCUUAGUUACCUAGCACGUUAUGGUGGGCACUCUAAGGAGACUGCCGGUGACAAACCGGAGGAAGGUGGGGAUGACGUCAAGUCAUCAUGGCCCUUACGGCCUGGGCUACACACGUGCUACAAUGGUCGGUACAAAGGGUUGCCAAGCCGCGAGGUGGAGCUAAUCCCAUAAAACCGAUCGUAGUCCGGAUCGCAGUCUGCAACUCGACUGCGUGAAGUCGGAAUCGCUAGUAAUCGUGAAUCAGAAUGUCACGGUGAAUACGUUCCCGGGCCUU